ACCACCACCAGGACGGCUGGACGGGGAGGGGCAGGCGGGGGUGGUGGAGGGACUGCAUCAAGAGGACCCAAGGCUGGUGGAGUUGGUGAGAGAGAGAGUCCACCCCCCUUCUCCCCUCCCCUACAACCUGACCCACCCUGGGAAGAAACACUAUUCAGAAUUUGGCCAAAGCAAUAUUCUCGAUGAGUUUAUUCUACAUGGACUGAGCAAUGGCGUGUACCUGGAGGCGGGGGCGGUGGACGGGGAGUAUCUGAGCAACACACUGUACCUGGAGAAGCACCUGGGCUGGUCCGGGGUGCUGGUGGAGCCGCUGCCUGCCACUUAUGACGCCCUGAGAAGGAAGCACAGGAAAAGUUAUACCUUGAACGCUGCCCUCUCAACCACCACCACCGCUCAGACUCUUCAUAUGAGAACUGAAGGGAAGAAAGGAGUCAUGAGCCACUUCCUACGAGAGGGAGAAGAAGAGGGAGA